rnacentral:rRNA from 1 species
CAUGGGAGGCAGCAGGCGCGCAACUUACCCAAUUCCGGCCCGGAGAGGUAGUGAAGAGAACUAACGGUGCGGGCCACYGUACGGUGGCUUGCUCCCGGAUUGAGCGUCUCCGAAAGUCCUCGCCGAGGAGCCAUCGGAGGGCAAGUCUGGUGCCAGCAGCCGCGGUAAUUCCAGCUCCGAUAGCGUACAUUAAAGUUGCUGCAGUUAAAUAGCUCGGAGUUGGAGGUGGGGUGGCGAGCCGGGCCACAUUGGUGUCGUUGAUCUCCAGGGUCGGCGUCGCCACCGGCUCGCUGCCCUAGACUGUGGAGCUAGCUGCAGUGGGUCGGCACCCUUUGGUGGGUGCGGGCUUUCCCUAGCGGCUGGACUGUGGUGCGGUCACCUGGAAAAAAUUAGAGUGCUCAAGGCGGGCACCUGUUCGCCCACAUAGGCGAUUCAGGAAUGACGAUGAUGAGCAGGGAUGCGCAGGCAUCCGUGCAAGGAUCGCGAGGGACGGACGGGGGCAGAGGUACUGCGGGGCGAGAGGUGAAAUUCUGGGACCCUCGCAAGACCGACCGCGGCGAAGGCUUCUGCCAAGCACGCCUUCGUUAAUCCAGAACGAAAGUCAGAGGAUCGAAGGCGAUUAGAUACCGCUCUAGUUCUGACCGUAAACGAUGUCGACCGGCGAUCCGUGACGUUUGCCAGACGAACGAUGCGGGCCUCCUCCCGGGAAACCAAAGUGUUUGGACUCCGGGGGGAGUACGGUUGCAAAACUGAAACUUAAAGGAAUUGACGGAAAGGCACCACCAGGCGUGGAGCCUGCGGCUCAAUUCGACUCAACACGGGGAACCUCACCAGGUCCGGACGCCGGAAGGAUUGACAGACCGAGAGCCCUUUCUCGAUUCGGUGGGUGGUGGUGCAUGGCCGUUCAUAGUUGGUGGAGUGAUUUGUCUGGUCAAUUCCGGUAACGAACGAGGUCCGAUCCCNGGGUUGGGGCAUGGGCNAAGGUGCCAACUGUGGNGANGGAUGGCCAUUG